UCACCCACGAGGUCGACCCCGUGUUUCUGGUCGUGGAAAGGGAAGACGAGAGAAAGAGGCGACGCGACGGCGGCGACAGGCGGCGGGUAAAGGAGACGGCGGCGACAGGCGGCGGAGAAAGGAGACGCCGGCGACAGGCGGCGGGGAAAGGAGACGCCGGCGACAGGCGGCGGGGAAAGGAGACGCCGGUGGGGACUGAACGAGCAAACCCGACGGCGACGGCGAGAACCUGCUCCGGCGACUGGUCCCAUUUCACUACCAGAAACACGACCCCCACCGUCGCCGCAGUACACGGUCUCCGCCGCCGUCGCUGCAGGCCCGGUCCCGGCCGCGGUCGCUGCUACAUCUACUCUCCAGUCCGCAGCCACCGCAUCCGGCUUCCAGUCCGCCGCCGCUGCAUCUAGCUGCAACUUCAACUACCCGUCAAUGAACAAGGGCACAAGCCAAUCCACGGUAUGAUAGCAGGACGAGUACUCCCCACCCCUAUCCCCUAUAUGUGCAACGUUGAUGAUGUUGAGGCCAGGAGAUGCGACAGCAAGGAACCUGGUGGCAGGACGCUCAGAUCUGGUCGCCUCCAUGCCGUUCCCGGGAUUGGGGAAGAAUUAAGCAAUUGUAGGGCAAGGGUAGGGAAUAUCAUCAGUAUAAGAAAUCUGGUUAUCCCUCAACAGGAAGAGGAUCAUCAUAAAGAGAAGCUUACAACCGAAGCUGAAGCAAAAGCAUCAUAGAACAUAAGGUCUCCGGUGCUGAAUAUUUACUUGAUGCACCUCUGUGCGUUUUGAAAUGGUUGAACCUGUGUUUAUUUUGACAUUUGAUGCAUGUACGGGAAUUCUGUAUGAAAAUAUAUAUGAUUUCAUAACUCUACUAUUCAUGUAUGUGACAGAUUUUGAUGUGUAUGCUUUAUAUAUCCCGAGUAAUGGAACAAUUAUGUAGAAAACCAA